rnacentral:rRNA from 1 species
UUCCAGACUCCUACGGGAGGCAGCAGUGAGGAAUAUUGGUCAAUGGGCGCGAGCCUGAACCAGCCAAGUCGCGUGAGGGAGGACGGCCCUACGGGUUGUAAACCUCUUUUGCCGGGGAGCAACGGGCGUCACGUGUGGCGCCACUGAGAGUACCCGGAGAAAAAGCAUCGGCUAACUCCGUGCCAGCAGCCGCGGUAAUACGGAGGAUGCGAGCGUUAUCCGGAUUUAUUGGGUUUAAGGGGUGCGUAGGCGGAGCGUUAAGUCGGUGGUAAAGUGGGGGGGCCCACCCCCUGCCCGCCAUUGAAACUGGCGCUCUUGAGUGGAAGAGAAGUAUGCGGAAUGCGUGGUGUAGCGGUGAAAUGCAUAGAUAUCACGCAGAACUCCGAUCGCGAAGGCAGCCUACCGGCGCGCAACUGACGCUCAUGCACGAAAGCGUGGGUAUCGAACAGGAUUAGAUACCCUCGUAC